rnacentral:rRNA from 1 species
CAGUAGCCGCGGGAAUACAGAGGGUGCGAGCGUUAAUCGGAUUUACUGGGCGUAAAGCGUGCGUAGGCGGCUUUUUAAGUCGGAUGUGAAAUCCCUGAGCUUAACUUAGGAAUUGCAUUCGAUACUGGGAAGCUAGAGUAUGGGAGAGGAUGGUAUAAUUCCAGGUGUAGCGGUGAAAUGCGUAGAGAUCUGGAGGAAUACCGAUGGCGAAGGCAGCCAUCUGGCCUAAUACUGACGCUGAGGUACGAAAGCAUGGGGAGCAAACAGGAUUAGAGACCCGUGUAGUCCCUGUCUCUUAUAA